rfam:Bacillus sp. SA2-6 scf7180000001084, whole genome shotgun sequence.
CACAGGCUGCGUUGCACGUAAUCAUAAUAAAGUUUUAACCUUUAAGCUGUAAAAGGGAGUUUUAAUUGAAACCGGAAUGACAAGCCUCUGUCUAUACGACAAGGAGGACAUGCAGGAACGUUUCUGCGAACACCCACUUUGAGGAGUGGUGGUUUAAAACUUUCUUAUAUUCCAUUACGGCAAAUGCGGCUCUACA